GGUCGAUUAGUGUAGUUGGUUAUCACAUCGGAUUCUGAGUACAUACUCCAUUCCGGUAACCUGGGUUCGAAUCCCAGAUUGACCU